GAUGAACGCUGGCUACAGGCUUAACACAUGCAAGUCGAGGGGAAACGACGGGGAAGCUUGCUUCCCCGGGCGUCGACCGGCGCACGGGUGAGUAACGCGUAUCCAACCUGCCUCUGACUGAGGGAUAACCCGUCGAAAGUCGGCCUAAUACCUCAUGGCAUCGUCUGCGGGCAUCCAACGACGAUUAAAGAUUUCAUCGGUCAGAGAUGGGGAUGCGUCUGAUUAGCUUGUUGGCGGGGUAACGGCCCACCAAGGCGACGAUCAGUAGGGGUUCUGAGAGGAAGGUCCCCCACAUUGGAACUGGGACACCGUCCAAACGCCUACGGGAGGCAGCAGUGAGGAAUAUUGGUCAAUGGGCGAGAGCCUGAACCAGCCAAGUAGCGUGCAGGAUGACGGCCCUAUGGGUUGUAAACUGCUUUUAUGCGGGGAUAAAGUGAGGGACGUGUCCUUCAUUGCAGGUACCGCAUGAAUAAGGACCGGCUAAUUCCGUG
rnacentral:rRNA from 1 species